CCAGCUCCAAUAGCGUAUAUUAAAGUUGUUGCAGUUAAAAAGCUCGUAGUUGAACUUCUGGAAUAGCCUCGCGGGUUCCGCCUCGUGUGUGAAUCUGCGACUGUUCCAUCCUCGCGCGGAAGCGUCGGCAUUAACUUGUCGGCGUGGACGCGCGUCCUUUACUGUGAAAAAAUUAGAGUGUUUAAAGCAGGCUCGCCGCUUGAAUACAUUAGCAUGGAAUAAUGAGAUAGGACUUCGGUGCUAUUUUGUUGGUUGCGUACCGAGGUAAUGAUUAAUAGGGACAGUUGGGGGUAUUCAUAUUUAACUGUCAGAGGUGAAAUUCUUGGAUUUGUUAAAGAUGAACUACUGCGAAAGCAUUUACCAAGGAUGUUUUCA
rnacentral:rRNA from 1 species